GAUGCCGAAACGGUGUCGUGGAGC
rnacentral:snRNA from 1 species